rnacentral:tRNA from 1 species
GCGGGUAUGGUGGAAUUGGUAGACACGCUAGACUUAGGAUCUAGUGCCGCAAGGCAUGGGGGUUCGACUCCCUCUACCCGCACCA